rnacentral:sRNA from 1 species
UGGUAAGACAGAAUGCUAACGCACUUCAAAGCUCCCGUUACAUAAUUCAAAGGGAGUUUAGAAGCUUGCUUUAUUUAUCUUAAAUUAUUCACAGCAUAAGUCUUUAAAAUAUUUAAACUCCAAUACCGUCAAAGGAGAAUGCUGAUGGAGUGUCUUCUCCGGAGAAAGCAGCCAUAAGGACUCGUGGGCCAACGCAAGCAUCGAGGGUGCUCCCCCAUGCUCCACUUUCUGGACCAAGGAAUGCUUUCCUUUAGGGAUCAAGUUUUUGCCGAAUGAGAUUAAUUUUUUUUUUAAAUGUUGCUCCUGAGGAGGAGCCUUUAGCAGGACAUACGAAGAUGUGAGGAAGUGGAAAUGUCCUUCCUUCCAUAGCUAAUGAAACCACUCAUUAGCAGAACACCGGGGUGCUACUAGCGAGACACUCGUGCAGCUGGCACUCAUUCUGAGGAGGAUGAUUCAUUACCAUGGUUACUGGUGCUGGAAAUAUUACCUUCCGCAAUCAGCAUGCGCACUGAUCCUUUAAGAGAGUGUAAAAAUCAGAGCACUGUAAACAAUUAGUGAAAAUCGUCAGCUGCUCUGGGCUGAGCUUACACAAUGCUACCCUCAGGGCAUAAAAGCAGAGGGAGGAGACUGAACCGGUGCAUUUUCCAGAGGUAUGCCUGGAGGUGUGUUUCCUGGGUGAUUUCAGAUCCUGUCAGGUUGGCAAUCAACAGAAACCAUCACGUUUACAGACAAAAUUCAGAAACCAAAGCUCAAGAACCAAGUUUCAUGUGCUAAUAUCUCAAGAGCUUCAGAAAGUCUUAUGCACAAUAAGAUGCCAGAGAGACGUUGUGGCUAACACCUAUAAUCCCAGCACUUGGAAGACUGAGGCAGGAGGAUUGUGGUACAGAGAAAUCCAGCCCCACAAUGCAAUCAGGAAACGAGUACAGCUAUACAGCAGUUGGACACGCAAGCUGUGAGAAAAUGAUAUCUAUUUUUAUGUGCCUAUUUCAUUACUGUCUAUGGGUCUGAUAAAGUUAAGCUUUUCUGUGUUUUUAAAUGCUGUGAUUGAACCCUGGCAUCAGUAUUAGGACUCUGAUCAGCUUGGCUGCAAGUUCGGGGCCUCUCAGACCCUCCACUCAGGUUUGAAAAUUCGCCAGAAUGACUAAGAGGAGCUCCGAGGGAACUACAUAUGCUACUGCAGUUCUAAAAAUGGACACAUGCCAGGGCAGCCCCUCUCAGGAAGGAAGGCCACAUAACCCCAGGACACUGGAGUGCUCUCCAACUCCGAAGCUCAGGGCUGGUUGACAUGUGAGCUCACGGAUUGUGGCAGCAUACCCAGGGCCUGCCUGCAAGGGUCUGUACCAGAUAGUAAGCAGCAGAAGUGAGCAUCUCUAACCAGAAGCUAUCUCCAACUGAUAGCCAUUCACAAGUGAACAAUUACCUUUCUCCAAUGGCCUCGAUGCGUAUAUUGAGCCAUGCCCAGCAAUAAAUGGGCAACACCAGUUGAAUCAAUGGUAGAAGACUUUCCCUCUUGGAGUGUUUUGUUCUGCCAUUUUUUUGUCUUACUGGUCUCUUUUGCUUGUCUAUGGUUUCUGAUUUUGUGGACUUUAUGGAUUUUGUUUGCUGUUGUGUGUUUCUUAUAUUAUGUCUCUCUUAUAUUUUU